rnacentral:rRNA from 1 species
CCUGGCUCAGGAUGAACGCUAGCUACAGGCUUAACACAUGCAAGUCGAGGGGCAGCAUGGUCUUAGCUUGCUAAGGCCGAUGGCGACCGGCGCACGGGUGAGUAACACGUAUCCAACCUGCCGUCUACUCUUGGACAGCCUUCUGAAAGGAAGAUUAAUACAAGAUGGCAUCAUGAGUCCGCAUGUUCACAUGAUUAAAGGUAUUCCGGUAGACGAUGGGGAUGCGUUCCAUUAGAUAGUAGGCGGGGUAACGGCCCACCUAGUCUUCGAUGGAUAGGGGUUCUGAGAGGAAGGUCCCCCACAUUGGAACUGAGACACGGUCCAAACUCCUACGGGAGGCAGCAGUGAGGAAUAUUGGUCAAUGGGCGAGAGCCUGAACCAGCCAAGUAGCGUGAAGGAUGACUGCCCUAUGGGUUGUAAACUUCUUUUAUAAAGGAAUAAAGUCGGGUAUGGAUACCCGUUUGCAUGUACUUUAUGAAUAAGGAUCGGCUAACUCCGUGCCAGCAGCCGCGGUAAUACGGAGGAUCCGAGCGUUAUCCGGAUUUAUUGGGUUUAAAGGGAGCGUAGAUGGAUGUUUAAGUCAGUUGUGAAAGUUUGCGGCUCAACCGUAAAAUUGCAGUUGAUACUGGAUAUCUUGAGUGCAGUUGAGGCAGGCGGAAUUCGUGGUGUAGCGGUGAAAUGCUUAGAUAUCACGAAGAACUCCGAUUGCGAAGGCAGCCUGCUAAGCUGCAACUGACAUUGAGGCUCGAAAGUGUGGGUAUCAAACAGGAUUAGAUACCCUGGUAGUCCACACGGUAAACGAUGAAUACUCGCUGUUUGCGAUAUACUGCAAGCGGCCAAGCGAAAGCGUUAAGUAUUCCACCUGGGGAGUACGCCGGCAACGGUGAAACUCAAAGGAAUUGACGGGGGCCCGCACAAGCGGAGGAACAUGUGGUUUAAUUCGAUGAUACGCGAGGAACCUUACCCGGGCUUAAAUUGCAGAUGAAUUACGGUGAAAGCCGUAAGCCGCAAGGCAUCUGUGAAGGUGCUGCAUGGUUGUCGUCAGCUCGUGCCGUGAGGUGUCGGCUUAAGUGCCAUAACGAGCGCAACCCUUGUUGUCAGUUACUAACAGGUUCCGCUGAGGACUCUGACAAGACUGCCAUCGUAAGAUGUGAGGAAGGUGGGGAUGACGUCAAAUCAGCACGGCCCUUACGUCCGGGGCUACACACGUGUUACAAUGGGGGGUACAGAGGGCCGCUACCACGCGAGUGGAUGCCAAUCCCCAAAACCUCUCUCAGUUCGGACUGGAGUCUGCAACCCGACUCCACGAAGCUGGAUUCGCUAGUAAUCGCGCAUCAGCCACGGCGCGGUGAAUACGUUCCCGGGCCUUGUACACAC